rnacentral:rRNA from 1 species
GAACUGAAGAGUUUGAUCCUGGCUCAGAUUGAACGCUGGCGGCAUGCCUUACACAUGCAAGUCGAACGGCAGCGGGGGUAGCUUGCUACCUGCCGGCGAGUGGCGAACGGGUGAGUAAUACAUCGGAACGUGCCCUGUAGUGGGGGAUAACUAGUCGAAAGACUAGCUAAUACCGCAUACGACCUGAGGGUGAAAGUGGGGGACCGCAAGGCCUCAUGCUAUAGGAGCGGCCGAUGUCUGAUUAGCUAGUUGGUGGGGUAAA